GUGAGGAAUUUUCCGCAAUGGGCGAAAGCCUGACGGAGCAAUGCCGCGUGAAGGAUGAAGGCCUAUGGGUUGUAAACUUCUUUUCUUAGAGAAGAAUAUUGACGGUAUCUGAGGAAUAAGCAUCGGCUAACUCUGUGCCAGCAGCUGCGGUAAGACAGAGGAUGCAAGCGUUAUCCGGAAUGCUUGGGCGUAAAGCGUCUGUAGGUGGCUUCAAAAGUCUCCUGUCAAAGAUCAGGGCUUAACCCUGGGACGGCAGGAGAAAAUCAGAGACUAGAGUUUGGUAGGGGCAGAUGAAAUUCCCGGGAGAGCGGUGAAAUGCAUAGAGAUCGAGAGGAACACCAAAGGCGAAAGCACUCUGCUGGGCCACAACUGACACUGAGAGACGAAAGCGAGGGGAGCAAAAGGGAUUAGAAACCCCUGUAGUCC
rnacentral:rRNA from 1 species